rnacentral:rRNA from 1 species
GAUGAACGCUGGCGGCGUGCCUAAUACAUGCAAGUCGAGCGAACGGACGAGAAGCUUGCUUCUCUGAUGUUAGCGGCGGACGGGUGAGUAACACGUGGAUAACCUACCUAUAAGACUGGGAUAACUUCGGGAAACCGUAGCUAAUACCGGAUAAUAUUUUGAACCGCAUGGUUCAAAAGUGAAAGACGGUCUUGCUGUCACUUAUAGAUGGAUCCGCGCUGCAUUAGCUAGUUGGUAAGGUAACGGCUUACCAAGGCAACGAUGCAUAGCCGACCUGAGAGGGUGAUCGGCCACACUGGAACUGAGACACGGUCCAGACUCCUACGGGAGGCAGCAGUAGGGAAUCUUCCGCAAUGGGCGAAAGCCUGACGGAGCAACGCCGCGUGAGUGAUGAAGGUCUUCGGAUCGUAAAACUCUGUUAUUAGGGAAGAACAUAUGUGUAAGUAACUGUGCACAUCUUGACGGUACCUAAUCAGAAAGCCACGGCUAACUACGUGCCAGCAGCCGCGGUAAUACGUAGGUGGCAAGCGUUAUCCGGAAUUAUUGGGCGUAAAGCGCGCGUAGGCGGUUUUUUAAGUCUGAUGUGAAAGCCCACGGCUCAACCGUGGAGGGUCAUUGGAAACUGGAAAACUUGAGUGCAGAAGAGGAAAGUGGAAUUCCAUGUGUAGCGGUGAAAUGCGCAGAGAUAUGGAGGAACACCAGUGGCGAAGGCGACUUUCUGGUCUGUAACUGACGCUGAUGUGCGAAAGCGUGGGGAUCAAACAGGAUUAGAUACCCUGGUAGUCCACGCCGUAAACGAUGAGUGCUAAGUGUUAGGGGGUUUCCGCCCCUUAGUGCUGCAGCUAACGCAUUAAGCACUCCGCCUGGGGAGUACGACCGCAAGGUUGAAACUCAAAGGAAUUGACGGGGACCCGCACAAGCGGUGGAGCAUGUGGUUUAAUUCGAAGCAACGCGAAGAACCUUACCAAAUCUUGACAUCCUUUGACAACUCUAGAGAUAGAGCCUUCCCCUUCGGGGGACAAAGUGACAGGCGGUGCAUGGUUGUCGUCAGCUCGUGUCGUGAGAUGUUGGGUUAAGUCCCGCAACGAGCGCAACCCUUAAGCUUAGUUGCCAUCAUUAAGUUGGGCACUCUAAGUUGACUGCCGGUGACAAACCGGAGGAAGGUGGGGAUGACGUCAAAUCAUCAUGCCCCUUAUGAUUUGGGCUACACACGUGCUACAAUGGACAAUACAAAGGGCAGCGAAACCGCGAGGUCAAGCAAAUCCCAUAAAGUUGUUCUCAGUUCGGAUUGUAGUCUGCAACUCGACUACAUGAAGCUGGAAUCGCUAGUAAUCGUAGAUCAGCAUGCUACGGUGAAUACGUUCCCGGGUCU